rnacentral:rRNA from 1 species
CAAUAGCGUAUAUUAAAAUUGCUGCAGUUAAAAAGCUCGUAGUCGAACUUUGGUUUGGUAGGUUUUGUCCGCCGAGAGGUGUGCACUUUAUCUGCCGGACUUUUUCUUCGGUGUAGUCGAUUUCCUUUUAAUUAAGGAGUCGGUUGCGCGAAGACUGUUACCUUGAAAAAAUUGGAGUGCUCAACGCAGACGAUACGUCUUGAACAGUUCAGCAUGGGAUAACAAAAGAUGCUCUCGAUCUUGUUUUGUUGGUUUCUAGAUUAAGAGAAUGAUGAAUAGGGACAGUCGGGGACACUCGCAUUUCUGAGCUAGAGGUGAAAUUCUAUGAUUUCAGAAAGACGAACAUCCGCGAAANCANNNGUCAAGGAUGUUUUCAUNGA